AUGUGAGGGUGAUCUGGCUGCGAUAUCUGUCACCCCAUUGAUCGCCAGGGUUGAUUCAGCUGAUCUGGCUGGCUAGGCAGGUGUCCCCUUCCUCCCUCACUGCUAAAUGUGCGUCCUUCCCGAAGCUGCACGCUGGGUGGAAGGGCCUGAGCUCCCCUGCUAGAACCUUCAAACAGCUCUCAAGAUAAUAGGGUUAUAGUUCCAUACCACACCUACCACCACAGCUCUGUGCCCCUCCCACCCCAGCAAUAGCCGCUAUAGUUCUCAAAAAACGUUAGAGAACUAUUGGC
rnacentral:snRNA from 1 species